rnacentral:rRNA from 1 species
UACGAGGGGUGCAAACGUUAUUCGGAUUUAUUGGGUGUAAAGGGUGCGUAGACGGUGUAUUAAGUUCGUUGUUAAAUCUCUUGGCCUAACUGAGAGCUUGCGAUGAAAACUGAUAUGCUUGAGUGUGGAAGAGAGAAGUGGAAUUCUCGGAGUAGCGGUAAAAUGCGUAGAUCUCGAGAGGAACACCGAUGGCGAAGGCAGCUUCUUGGUCCACUACUGACGUUGAGGCACGAAAGCGUGGGGAGCAAACAGG